UACGUAGGGUGCAAGCGUUAUCCGGAAUUAUUGGGCGUAAAGAGCUCGUAGGCGGUUUGUUGCGUCGGCUGUGAAAUCCCGAGGCUCAACCUCGGGUCUGCAGUCGAUACGAGCAAACUAGAGUGUUGCAGGGGAGACUGGAAUUCCUGGUGUAGCGGUGAAAUGCGCAGAUAUCAGGAGGAACACCGGUGGCGAAGGCGGGUCUCUGGGCAACAACUGACGCUGAGGAGCGAAAGCGUGGGGAGCGAACAGGAUUAGAAACCC
rnacentral:rRNA from 1 species